rnacentral:tRNA from 1 species
GAGCCCGUGGCGCAACGGUAGCGCGUCUGACUCCAGAUCAGAAGGUUGCGUGUUCGAGUCACGUCGGGCUCA